CGUGUAGGCGGCUUGGUAAGUCCGCUGUGAAAGUCCAGGGCUCAACCCUGGAAUGCCGGUGGAAACUGUCAGGCUCGAGUCCGGAAGAGGCGAGUGGAAUUCCUGGUGUAGCGGUGAAAUGCGCAGAUAUCAGGAGGAACACCAAUGGCGAAGGCAGCUCGCUGGGACGGUACUGACGCUGAGAGCGAAAGCGUGGGGAGCAAACA
rnacentral:rRNA from 1 species